GAUGAACGCUGGCGGCGUGCCUAAUACAUGCAAGUCGAGCGAACAGACGAGGAGCUUGCUCCUCUGACGUUAGCGGCGGACGGGUGAGUAACACGUGGAUAACCUACCUAUAAGACUGGGAUAACUUCGGGAAACCGGCGCUAAUACCGGAUAAUAUAUUGAACCGCAUGGUUCAAUAGUGAAAGACGGUUUUGCUGUCACUUAUAGAUGGAUCCGCGCCGCAUUAGCUAGUUGGUAAGGUAACGGCUUACCAAGGCAACGAUGCGUAGCCGACCUGAGAGAGUGGUCGGCCACACUGGAACUGAGACACGGUCCAGACUCCUACGGGAGGCAGCAGUAGGGAAUCUUCCGCAAUGGGCGAAAGCCUGACGGAGCAACGCCGCGUGAGUGAUGAAGGUCUUCGGAUCGUAAAACUCUGUUAUUAGGGAAGAACAAAUGUGUAAGUAACUAUGCACGUCUUGACGGUACCUAAUCAGAAAGCCACGGCUAACUACGUG
rnacentral:rRNA from 1 species